CACAAAACAGGGGGUUUUCAAAUAGUUAUAAAACAGGAUCAUCUUUACUGAACAUCUAGAACUGUACAAAAAAACAAAAAAAAAACAAAAAAAAGCAACAGACAGUAAAUCUACGUUCCAAGUGGCACCUAUUCCCUACAUAGUGCACUACUUCUGAUCAGAGCCCUACAUAGGGAAUAGGGUGCCAGAGCUCUGUAACACCCUAUUCCCUACAUAGUGCACUACUUCUGAUCAGAGCCCUACAUAGGGAAUAGGGUGCCAGAGCUCUAUAACACCCUAUUCCCUACAUAGUGCACUACUUCUGAUCAGAGCCCUACAUAGGGAAUAGGGUGCCAGAGCUCUAUAACACCCUAUUCCCUACAUAGUGCACUACUUCUGAUCAGAGCCCUACAUAGGGAAUAGGGUGCCAUUUCAGAUGCAGACUAAAUCAUCCAGUGACCGAAGACAAAGUGUCAAAACAAACAGAGGAUUGAAAGAAGAAAGGAAGAAAAACAGGGUUUAGGGUCUAACCAGGGGGUCCAAUCUGACCCUACAGCUGUUUGGAGUCAAACCAGGGGGUCCAAUCUGACCCUACAGCUGUUUGGAGUCUAACCAGGGGGUCCAAUCUGACCCUACAGCUGUUUGGAGUCAAACCAGGGGGUCCAAUCUGACCCUACAGCUGUUUGGAGUCUAACCAGGGGGUCCAAUCUGACCCUACAGCUGUUUGGAGUCUAACCAGGGGGUCCAAUCUGACCCUACAGCUGUUUGGAGUCUAACCAGGGGGUCCAAUCUGACCCUACAGCUGUUUGGAGUCAAACCAGGGGGUCCAAUCUGACCCUACAGCUGUUUGGAGUCUAACCAGGGGGUCCAAUCUGACCCUACAGCUGUUUGGAGUCAAACCAGGGGGUCCAAUCUGACCCUACAGCUGUUUGGAGUCAAACCAGGGGUCCAAUCUGACCCUACAGCUGUUUGGAGUCUAACCAGGGGGUCCAAUCUGACCCUACAGCUGUUUGGAGUCUAACCAGGGG
ensembl:lncRNA